rnacentral:rRNA from 1 species
GCCAUAUCAAGUUAAAAGACCGGUUCUGGUCGGAUCAUCAAAGUUAAGCAACGUAGAGCCUGGUCUGUACCUAGAUGGGUGACUGCUUGCGAAUAUCAGGUACUGUAAGC